AAGACAAGGAAUGUGUGAAACAAGCAAU
rnacentral:piRNA from 1 species